AUUGAACGCUGGCGGCAGGCCUAACACAUGCAAGUCGAGCGGAUGAAGGGAGCUUGCUCCUGGAUUCAGCGGCGGACGGGUGAGUAAUGCCUAGGAAUCUGCCUGGUAGUGGGGGAUAACGUCCGGAAACGGGCGCUAAUACCGCAUACGUCCUGAGGGAGAAAGUGGGGGAUCUUCGGACCUCACGCUAUCAGAUGAGCCUAGGUCGGAUUAGCUAGUUGGUGGGGUAAAGGCCUACCAAGGCGACGAUCCGUAACUGGUCUGAGAGGAUGAUCAGUCACACUGGAACUGAGACACGGUCCAGACUCCUACGGGAGGCAGCAGUGGGGAAUAUUGGACAAUGGGCGAAAGCCUGAUCCAGCCAUGCCGCGUGUGUGAAGAAGGUCUUCGGAUUGUAAAGCACUUUAAGUUGGGAGGAAGGGAAGUAAGUUAAUACCUUGCUGUUUGGACGUUACCAACAGAAUAAGCACCGGCUAACUUCGU
rnacentral:rRNA from 1 species